GGCAGCGGCCGUUUAAGGGAAACCUGUGCCGGCCGCUGGGCCGCGACGGGCUCACAGGGGGCACCACAGCCCCCUUCCCCUCAGGUCUACACUGGGAACAGUGGAUCCUUUGUCUCUGUCUACAUGAAGGACUGCCCGACACCGAGGCCUUAACCAAAGCCAACAGACGCCCGACCUUGAUUUCUUAGAGCAAGUGGCUCUCCACCAUUGCUGGUCAGAGGGCAGCUUAAGAAAUACACCAGAGAUACACCACGACAAUUAAGAAAACGAGUGGCUGUUUUGUCUUUGAAGAGCUCCUGGGAAAGGGAAUCCCUUCAGCCUCUCCCUCGUGACUCUGAGUGUCUUGCUUUGUGUCAUUUUCUACCCAAGUGGGGGCAGGAGCCUCUGAAGCCUCUGUCUCUCCUCUCUAAAGAUGACUGAUUGGGCGUUGCUGAACCCCCAGCAGGACUGUUUUAGCCCAAGAUUGGCCUCCAUGUGUGGUCCUAAGAGCUGCCAGCAGCUUCUAGGGGCUCCUUGCCUCCUUGCUCACGUCCUGCCGGAGGAGACAGUACAACUCUCCGUGGUCGUCCCUUAGAGGCCUUCGAGAAGCAGUUCUCCAUCUCAUUGGCUUGGAUGGGAUCUCAGCCUCUGCCGUCAUCCCUGAACGGACCCUAGGGGCCAUGAGAGAUGGCGUACGCCAGUGCACGGUGAGGAGAGGAGGCUUCUGAGGAGCCAAACACAGCGCAUGUGAAACAGCUCAGUGUAUGGGGCAUGAAGGAAGAAGGUCUCCUGGGGAGCGAGAUCCGGCUGAGCGGGGGUCCCAGUGCCUUAUACCUUCACGAGUGGCUCUCUUUAGUCAUGGUUCUUGCGCACCAUCGCAUUAAUCCACGGGCAUUUCCUAAAGGGGUUGUUGCGGAGAUCUGCUUUUAAAGUGCUAAAUACCUCGUUUAUUUAUUUACAAGGAUUUUUCAAACAUACUCAUGCCAGCUGCCCUUCUAAGCCCUGGGGAUUCAGAAGUGAACAAAACACUUAACUCUAAUCUUCCCCUAAAGUUUUGAAUCUUACCACCCAAUAGAGCCUCUGAACUGCCAGGACCCUUGGUUAGUUUCAUGGGUUAAUCCCCAUCAGAUUCUCAUAUGUUUAUUAUUGUGUCAAGAAAGUUAAGUCUUCGUAUUUGUACUUAAGUAGAAAGAAACCAUUCACUUAUCUCAGAGGUAGCAGUUUUGGAAAGGAGUCAAGUAAUCUGGUUGAAAGGUGUGUAAUCAGGAACGGAGAUUGACAUGAUUUAAACUUCUUGAGUUAAAGUCAUAAACACAGGGGGGUUGGGAGGCGGGACAAAGUGGUUGGGAGUGGACCGUAGAAGGAGCUGGUAGCCUGAAGUGCGUCGCAUGGGGGCCUGGUCUGAACUGAAUCGAAAAUGGUUUGAAGCCAUGCAGUUGCAUCCCAGUUCGUGACCUCUAUUGGGAGGCCCUAGAGAGGAACCUGGGAUUGAACCUGUCAAUUAAAGUCCUAUUUUCUCUGCAAGAAGUAGGUCCUCUGGGUCAUUCUGAGAGCUUCCACUGAUGAUGAACUUCACAUUUUAACUGCUUUCUCUCUAAAUAACUACGUCCUGAGGGUAAAAGGUGCAGCUCCCACGGUACAUACAGAACUUACUUAAGCCGUGAAUCGACUUUCUGUGGGUCAGUACAGGAAACCCCUUGGGGCAAGAGUCUAGCCUCGGCCAGGACCGGAGUUGAACCAAGUCGCUCAAACUGUAUCCGCUCCUGUGGUUGUCAUUUUCUCUCCCUUUUGUAACGUGUCAGUGCUAGACGAACAAAGAAGCCUAAUGAUAUGGAAGCACAUUUGGUGUUAUAAUCAAAUAAAUUU